GCCACUUGCUGGCCUAACGUUACCACCACGGCACUGGCACCAGAGUCCAGAUCCUUCAUGCUGCCUGUGCAAGGGGUAGGUGUCAUUGCUAUACUACUAGUACAUAAUGUAGUUCAUAUAAAGACAGAGCAGGGAAUACCUUUCUGCAGUCCUCAGAGUCGUACCUGUUCAUGUCGCAACUGCAUUGCCCCACUUUCGCUCAUUUCAGACGGCAUCCUAGUUGGAAAAGUGGGGAAGUAACUCGACCGGAGUCAAAAUGGUUGCUGAUCGCGUUCUGUACUUCGCCUUGGCGACCGUUCUGCUUAGUCUCUACUGUGUUGGAACGAUCCAAGCUCAGGGCACGUGCUAUGUAGCAAACUGCAAAGAAGACAACUAUACCAAGUGCACGGAGACCGUAACAACCUGCAACUCGUUUUAUUGCGUGAAAGGAUCGACAUACAGCCCCACAACUGGUCUGACGUGGAUCAAGAAAUGCCAAGAUACGUCUGAUGCUACAGUACCGGUGACCUGUUCUGGUUUCACCACAAGCAGCUUUCGAUGCUCGUCGCACACCGUCAAUGGUGCUACGCAGUCAUAUUGCUUCUCCUGCUGCGUGGGUCCUCGGUGUAACCGGGGAACUCCACUCAGGGCUUCAUCUGCUACAGCUCUGACUGCCCUGGGUCCUAUCACGCUGAUAGGUUGGUCUCUAUUCGCAAAGCUGUUCUAACUUCUAAGGAUAUUGCUUUGGCUGAUAAUGCGUCAUCUUGCAAUCUGAUCCAUUCCUCAC